UACAAGCAGUCACAAUAACAACAACUAUUCCUGCCACACAGAUAAGCCCCAAAUCCUUCUAGGUGGCGGCGGAUCUCGGGGUCUCUCGGCCGGAAGGAGCUCGCACGAGUCCAUCCCGGCAGCCCUCACAAGAUAUUUGGGGGUACCGACAGCACCUAGUGCAACUCUUGCCACUUACUUGGAGCAGUGCAUUAAUGCUCUCUGAGCACCAUCAUAUGGAGCCAUGGGCAGGAAACGACUUAUCACAGACUCUUUCCAAGUGGUGAAGAAGAGGAAAAGAGAUAAGGAAGCAAAGAAGGCUCAGAGCCCACUCCACGAAACAGUGACAGUCCAGACAGAAUCACUCCUUCAAGAUGCUGCGCAGCCAGACCAGCUGGAGAUGUUGAAACAGUUUGACCUCAGCUGGCAGUACGGCCCCUGUACUGGAAUUACCCGCUUGCAGCGCUGGGAGAGAGCAGAGUUAUUGGGUCUCAACCCCCCUGCUAUGGUGCAGGAGCUGCUGCAGAAGCACCGUGACAACCCUCUUGUUAUGUACAGGUGAAGACUUAUUUAUUCCAGCAGGCUUUUGGAGUAGAAGUUGUUUAAGACAGGACUUCUAGAGCCUGUGGCAUGAAUAUUGCCUCUGAGAAGAGCAACUGGUGGUAUCUCAGCCUGAGGAGGAGUUCCUGCUGCUUUGACAUCAUCGCCACUUGGAUAAUUCCUUCAUUCCUAUAGUGGAAGAUGUUCUGUGGUACGGCAGAAGGACCCUGGAAAGAUGUCAAGGCCUACCAGCUGAUCCCCACUUGUGGUUCUGGCCUCAGAAUAAAAGCUUGUUAACUGAGUACUUAGGUGGUUGGGGAUAAUUGAAGCUGGUGAUUGUCAGUUUGCUGUGCUAAAAAAAAAAGAUGAAUAGUUCUUGAAGUCAAGCUUGAUAUGAUAUUGCAUUUUUAAAUUGUCAUUUGUAUACUCUUUUAAAACUUGUUUGAUUUUUGUAA